rnacentral:rRNA from 1 species
CCUACGGGAGGCAGCAGUGAGGAAUAUUGGUCAAUGGGCGAGAGCCUGAACCAGCCAAGUCGCGUGAAGGAAGAAUGCCCUACGGAUUGUAAACUUCUUUUAUAAGGGAGCAAAGUGAGCCACGUGUGGCUUUUGGAGUGUACUUUAUGAAAAAGCAUCGGCUAACUCCGUGCCAGCAGCCGCGGUAAUACGGAGGAUGCGAGCGUUAUCCGGAUUUAUUGGGUUUAAAGGGAGCGUAGAUGGGUUGUUAAGUCAGUUGUGAAAGUUGGGGGCUUAAACGUAAAACUGCAAUUGAUACUGGCAGUCUUGAGUACAGGUGAGGUAGGCGGAAUUCGUGGUGUAGCGGUGAAAUGCGUAGAUAUCACGAAGAACUCCGAUUGCGAAGGCAGCUUACUGGACUGCCACUGACGCUGAGGCACGAAAGUGUGGGUAUCGAACAGGAUUAGAUACCCCUGUAGUC